rnacentral:rRNA from 1 species
UACCAGCACCCCGAGUGGUCGGGACGAUUAUUGGGCCUAAAGCAUCCGUAGCUGGUUCCUUAAGUCCUCCGUUAAAUCCACCUGCUUAACAGAUGGGCUGCGGAGGAUACUAUAGAGCUAGGAGGCGGGAGAGGCAAGCGGUACUCAGUGGGUAGGGGUAAAAUCCGUUGAUCCAUUGUAGACCACCAGUGGCGAAGGCGGCUUGCCAGAACGCGCUCGACGGUGAGGGAUGAAAGCUGGGGGAGCAAACCGG